rnacentral:rRNA from 1 species
UACAGAGGUGGCAAGCGUUGUUCGGAAUUACUGGGCGUAAAGGGCGCGUAGGCGGUCUUUUAAGUCUUGUGUGAAAUCCCUCGGCUCAACUGAGGAACUGCACGGGAUACUGGAAGACUUGAGUUCGGGAGAGGGAAGCGGAAUUCCGGGUGUAGCGGUGAAAUGCGUAGAUAUCCGGAGGAACACCGGUGGCGAAGGCGGCUUCCUGGACCGAUUACUGGACGCUGAGGCGCGAAAGCUAGGGGAGCAAACGGG